UUUCCGGUUGAUCCCGCCGGGACUGACUGCUAUCGGAUUGAUACUAAGCCAUGCGAGUCAUUGUAGUAAUACAAGGCAGACGGCUCAGUAACGCGUAGUCAACCUACCCUAUGGACGGGGAUAACCUCGGGAAACUGAGAAUAAUACCCGAUAGAACAUUAUGCCUGGAAUGGUUUAUGUUUCAAAUAAUUUAUUGCCGUAGGAUGGGACUGCGGCCUAUCAGUUUGUUGGUGAGGUAAUGGCCCACCAAGACUAUUACAGGUACGGGCUCUGAGAGGAGUAGCCCGGAGAUGGGUACUGAGACACGGACCCAGGCCCUAUGGGGCGCAGCAGGCGAGAAAACUUUGCAAUGUGCGAAAGCACGACAAGGUUAAUCCGAGUGGUUUCUGCUAAAGGAACCUUUUGUCAGUCCUAGAAACACUGAUGAAUAAGGGGUGGGCAAGUUCUGGUGUCAGCCGCCGCGGUAAAACCAGCACCUCAAGUGGUCAGGAUGAUUAUUGGGCCUAAAGCAUCCGUAGCCUGCUUUGUAAGUUUUCGGUUAAAUCCAUAUGCUCAACGUAUGGGCUGCCGGGAAUACUGCAAAGCUAGGGAGUGGGAGAGGUAGACGGUACUCGGUAGGAAGGGGUAAAAUCCUUUGAUCUAUUGAUGACCACCUGUGGCGAAGGCGGUCUACCAGAACACGUCCGACGGUGAGGGAUGAAAGCUGGGGGAGCAAACCGGAUUAGAUACCCGGGUAGUCCCAGCUGUAAACUAUGCAAACUCAGUGAUGCAUUGGCUUGAUGCCAAUGCAGUGCUGCAGGGAAGCCGUUAAGUUUGCCGCCUGGGAAGUACGUACGCAAGUAUGAAACUUAAAGGAAUUGGCGGGGGAGCACCACAAGGGGUGAAGCCUGCGGUUCAAUUGGAGUCAACGCCGGA
rnacentral:rRNA from 1 species